UACAGAGGUCCCAAGCGUUUGUUCGGAUUCACUGGGCGUAAAGGGUGCGUAGGCGGUCGGGUAAGUCUGAUGUGAAAUCUCACAGCUUAACUGUGAAACUGCAUUGGAUACUAUUCGGCUUGAGAGUUGGAGGGGGACUGGAAUUCUUGGUGUAGCAGUGAAAUGCGUAGAUAUCAAGAGGAACACCAGUGGCGAAGGCGAGUCCCUGGACAACUUCUGACGCUGAGGCACGAAAGCUAGGGGAGCAAACAGG
rnacentral:rRNA from 1 species